rnacentral:rRNA from 1 species
UACGUAGGGGGCUAGCGUUGUCCGGAAUCAUUGGGCGUAAAGAGCGUGUAGGCGGUCCGGUAAGUCCGUUGUGAAAGUCAGGGGCUCAACCCUUGAAUGCCGGCGGAUACUGUCGGGCUAGAGUCCGGAAGAGGCAAGUGGAAUUCCCGGUGUAGCGGUGAAAUGCGCAGAUAUCAGGAAGAACACCAAUGGCGAAGGCAGCUCUCUGGGACGGUACUGACGCUGAGACGCGAAAGCGUGGGGAGCGAACAGG